GGCAUCUUCUUGUUUUUAAAAGACCUAGCAAUAGGUAUGCUUAGGGAGGAGCUUGCGUCACAUUAGUUAGUUGGUGGGGUAAAGGCCUACCAAGACUAUGAUGUGUAGCCGGGCUGAGAGGUUGAACGGCCACAUUGGGACUGAGACACGGCCCAAACUCCUACGGGAGGCAGCAGUAGGGAAUUUUCGGCAAUGGAGGAAACUCUGACCGAGCAACGCCGCGUGAACGAUGAAGUAUUUCGGUACGUAAAGUUCUUUUAUUAGGGAAGAAUAAAUGAUGGAAAAAUCAUUCUGACGGUACCUAAUGAAUAAGCCCCGGCUAACUAUGUGCCAGCAGCCGCGGUAAUACAUAGGGGGCAAGCGUUAUCCGGAAUUAUUGGGCGUAAAGGGUGCGUAGGCGGUUAAAUAAGUUUAUGGUCUAAGUGCAAUGCUCAACAUUGUGAUGCUAUAAAAACUGUUUAGCUAGAGUAAGAUAGAGGCAAGUGGAAUUCCAUGUGUAGUGGUAAAAUGCGUAAAUAUAUGGAGGAACCCCAGUAGCGAAGGCGGCUUGCUGGGUCUUUACUGACGCUGAGGCACGAAAGCGUGGGGAGCAAACAGGAUUAGAUACCCUGGUAGUCCACGCCGUAAACGAUGAGUACUAAACGUUGGGUAAAAACCAGUGUUGAAGUUAACACAUUAAGUACUCCGCCUGAGUAGUACGUACGCAAGUAUGAAACUUAAAGGAAUUGACGGGACUCCGCACAAGCGGUGGAUCAUGUUGUUUAAUUCGAAGGUACCCGAAAAACCUCACCAGGUCUUGACAUGCUUCUGCAAAGCUGUAGAAACACAGUGGAGGUUAUCAGUUGCACAGGUGGUGCAUGGUUGUCGUCAGCUCGUGUCGUGAGAUGUUGGGUUAAGUCCCGCAACGAGCGCAACCCUUAUUGUUAGUUACCAGCACGUAAUGGUGGGGACUUUAGCAAGACUGCCAGUGAUAAAUUGGAGGAAGGUGGGGACGACGUCAAAUCAUCAUGCCCCUUAUGACCUGGGCUACAAACGUGAUACAAUGGCUGUUACAAAGGGUAGCUGAAGCGCAAGUUUUUGGCGAAUCUCAAAAAAACAGUCUCAGUUCGGAUUGAAGUCUGCAACUCGACUUCAUGAAGUUGGAAUCGCUAGUAAUCGCGAAUCAGCAUG
rnacentral:rRNA from 1 species